rnacentral:lncRNA from 1 species
CCUGUCGCCCGACUGCCCCAGCUGCCGCCGCCGCCAGCGCCACCGCCACCGCCCCACCUGCGGCAGCUGGACCAAUCCCCUGUCAUCCUCCUCCCGGCCCCGCCCCCCACCCCCCAUCAGGCUGCGAACACUCACUGGUGCCCGUCCCCUGGCACGCUCACUGUCCUCCUCUCAGCCUUCACUCCUCUGAUCCCUCCUGGCGACCUCGGGGCCCACGAGGCUGACCCGGUCCACCGGAGCCUCUCCCUCCUCAAGAAUGUUCUCCUCCUCCCCACCCGAGCAUCCCCCAGCGCACGGUCAUGCCCCGGGCAUCAGGAAAGACCACGCCCCUCCUCGAUGCCCAUUUCUAACAUUCUGCUCUCUCAUCACCUCAAGGCCAUGCCCUGGUCGUCCAGCUCCCUCCCUCUAAUGCCUCUGCACCCACAGCCUUCAGCCUCUUGGAGACCUCUGGCCCACCGACCCCACAGCCUUCCUCACCGUCCACUAGGCCCCGCCUUACCCAGCUUACCCAGGCCUAUAAACUGUCCCCCUCAAACACGCCUCCUCUCCUCCUCUCUCCCUCCUCCCUACUCUCCUGGCAGUACCACCAAAUGGACCAACCCUCUGCAGCCUCCACAUCUCUAUCUCCUCUCUCCUCUACCUACAAUAGCGUUCCAUGCGCACUGGCAGCCACUCUUCUCACGGUGUUCAGUGAUCAUUGGGAAAAGAGAAUAGAUCACGUGGGAACUCUCACCACUUCCCAGCAACGCUGGCUCUGGGCUUCUGUUCUCUUCAGUUCCUCUGAAGGAAGUGACCUAAUCCUAUGAGGCCAGGCUCUUCAGCUGGAUCCCUUGGCCAUCUUCUGGAGAGGUUGGCGAGGGGGCAGCGCAGGGGAUUGUCACUGGAGAAUCUACCUUCAAAUCGCCAGCCGUUCUGCAUUAGCUAAUCUCUCUUUCCUAAAAAGAAAAUGCAAAUCCUAAAGCCUUGGCUUUGUGAUCUGGCUUUACCAUGGGAAGCCUUGUGUCAGCAUGAAGGACAAGCAAAAGAAAAGAAUAUUCUGUUCCAACCUCACGGGAGUAGAAGACAGACACACAGAGGCAGUGGCAGAUGGAGCAGUACGCAACGCUACAACCAUUUUCUG